rnacentral:rRNA from 1 species
CCUACGGGCGGCAGCAGUGAGGAAUAUUGGUCAAUGGACGAGAGUCUGAACCAGCCAAGUAGCGUGAAGGAUGACUGCCCUAUGGGUUGUAAACUUCUUUUAUAUGGGAAUAAAAUGUUCCACGUGUGGGAUUUUGUAUGUACCAUAUGAAUAAGGAUCGGCUAACUCCGUGCCAGCAGCCGCGGUAAUACGGAGGAUCCGAGCGUUAUCUGGAUUUAUUGGGUUUAAAGGGAGCGUAGGUGGAUUGUUAAGUCAGUUGUGAAAGUUUGUGGCUCAACCGUAAAAUUGCAGUUGAAACUGGCAGUCUUGAGUACAGUAGAGGUGGGCGGAAUUCGUGGUGUAGCGGUGAAAUGCGUAGAUAUCACGAAGAACUCCAAUGGCGAAGGCAGUUCACUGGACUGCAACUGACACUGAGGCUCGAAAGUGUGGGUAUCAAACAGGAUUAGAUACCCCGGUAGUC